rnacentral:rRNA from 1 species
GAGGAAUAUUGGGCAAUGGGCGGAAGCCUGAUCCAGCCAUGCCGCGUGCAGGAAGACGGUCUUAUGAAUUGUAAACUGCUUUUAUACGGGAAGAAAUACCCCCUCGUGAGGGGACUUGACGGUAUCGUAAGAAUAAGGAUCGGCUAACUCCGUGCCAGCAGUUGCGGUAAUACGGAGGAUCCAAGCGUUAUCCGGAAUCAUUGGGUUUAAAGGGUCCGUAGGCGGCCUUAUAAGUCAGUGGUGAGAUUUCCUAGUUUAACUAGGAAAUUGCCAUUGAUACUGUAGGGCUUGAAUUAUUGUGAAGUAACUAGAAUAUGUAGUGUAGCGGUGAAAUGUUUAGAUAUUACAUGGAAUACUAAUUGCGAAGGUAGGUUACUAACAAUAUAUUGACGCUGAUGGACGAAAGCGUGGGUAGCGAAC